rnacentral:rRNA from 1 species
AAGUGGGAAGCCCACCUCAAGAUUAGAUAUCCCUCUAUCGCAAGAUAGACUGAAGUUUCCUCAAAGAUCAUGAGGUAGAUAGGCGAGGGGUGUAAGCAUGGCAACAUGUUCAGCCUACUCGUACUAAUCAAACGUGAGCCUUAACCAU